GAAGAUGCAACAAUUAAGGCAUGUAAGCAUAGAGCAUGGAUUUAGCUGUGAAGGAUAUAAUGCAGGUGGGCUGACUGGGAACAAACACAAUUUUCCAAGAAACCUACAAACUCUAAGAACUAUUUGUGCAGACAACUGGAUAAAAGAUUACUUGGGAGAGCUGGUUAAUCUUAGGAAACUGGUAAUAGCGAAAGUAGAUUUAAGUAGGCAUGGAAAGGGAUUGUUUGACUCUAUUCCUAAAUUGGACCACCUCCAGUCUUUGAGUUUAUAUGGUGAUAAUAUUCUAAAUAUUGCAAACCUAUUUCCUGCAAUUUCAAAUCGGCCACGUCUGGAUAAGCUGCGUUUAUGGGGAAGGUUAAAGAGGCUACCGGAAACUAAAGAAUUCUCACCAAAUCUCACUAGGCUCACCUUGUAUGCCUCUGAGUUAGUGCAAGACCCGAUGAUAACACUAGAGAAACUAACAAACCUUCGGAUUCUCGAAAUGAAAUCUCGUGCAUACAAGGGAAAGGAAAUGGUAUGCUCUGCGCAAGGGUUUCCUCGACUUCAGUCCUUGAAGGUUGGUAACUUUAAUAAUUUAGAGCGGUGGAUAGUUGAGGAAGGAGCGAUGCCGAGUCUUUUACAUUUACAUAUUUUACAAUGCCUACAAAUGAAGAUGCUUCCGGAAGGACUGGAGCAUGUGACUGCACUCAGGAAUUUGGAGCUAAGGUCUAUGCCUCAGAGUUUAAUCAAUGGGCUUGGUGUAGGGGGAGUGGAUUGGCAUAAGAUUCAACACAUACCCUCCAUCGACAUUAAUUAAGCAUCCUUAAUGAAAAAUCCCCACACAGAGAAGGACAGAGGUCCCAGCUAAUGCAAGCUCGAGCAACAUAUGUUGAAGCUAUUGUUUCCUGAGGAACACCUUCCACUGAAAUAUGCUGAAGCUGUUUCUGAAGAUAAAUAUUGAGAUGGAGAAAUGUUAUUUGUUGUGGAGACUGGCAAUCAAAGACAGGCUUUCAUUCUUUGUUGAAGACAGAUUCAGGUCAUCUCCAAAGUAAAGCAGAUGCGUUGAGAUUGGAAAGUCUCAAGCUUGUGCAACCCAACUCCCCUACAAGCCAACACAGGCCUGGAUGUAAGAGAUGUGCAAGAUCUAAGCUGUCCAUCAGGUGGGUCCCUACUUGUUGAUGCCACAGCUCAAAAAUCAGGUGAGUCCACUCCUUGGAGGGUCACCAAAAGCAAGGGACCCACUCCCUACGAAUUCUGUGCAGCAAGACCCAUUUAGGAGUUUCUCUGUUCUAAGCACAUCAUAUGUCUUCACAAGCUGGGAAGAUGCUUCUAUCAAACAGAAUCUUAGCAAUAGGGAGCCUGCUGAGACUACUUGGUGGAGAUCACCUGCAACGCAGGGUUGUGGCGUUUGAGGGAGCUAUUCUUCUCAUUACAUCUCCUAUGAUGCCAGUAGUGGAAGGAAUGCUAAUACUGGAAAGGAUAAUGAAGUCAAUCAAAGCACAAACAGAGGCCUUACAUCCACUUCUUCACCAGUCUUGCAGGACACAGAAAAUAACGCAACCAUUCCAACAUGAGAAGCAGCUUUCAACGGUGAACGUCUUUAGGACCACCAUUUCCCAUGGUGUUGUCCACUUGAGCUUUGGAUCUGCCUCAUUUUUAGGCUCCUGCACUAAAAUGAGCUGGCUAAAGGGAUGGAUGGCAUAGAUAAGCCACAUACAUCAUGGUGGGCCCCACAGUUUUUUUCCUUUUUCGCCCGGGUUUGGAGUUCAAAAGGCGUGCCUGUCAAUGUUGUAUGAGGAUGCUUCUGCAAUUGCAGAUGUAAGUAAUCAUAAUCUAUUUACAAGUAUUUACACCAGUAAAUGAAAAAUCAAACACCACCUAAAGAAAGCAUGGAAUCCCCAUCAAAUAAGAAGAUGCUUUAGGAAUGGCUUCCAGGACUACUUUGGAAUGUAAUAUUGUGAAUCUGCUGCCUAGUGAUGAAGCACAUGAAUGUCUUGAAAACGCUGGAGAGUCGAAUGCUGUGUUAGCUCUGUCUGUUCACAGGGAAUUGUUCAGAAACCAACGCUAAUUGUCAAUCCUUCAUAUACUCCUGAUCCUGAAUUAAAAAGGAAAAAAAAAAAAAGAGGCGGUCCUAUCAGGCCUGACAAUUGUCAGGCAGAGUCUGGGCAAUCUAUUGAACAAUUUUGCAAAUGAACCAACCAGAUUUACAGGAGCACCUUCCUGCUUGAUGAGGAGCCAUCAUCAGCAAGAAAAGAUCUUUUAUCUAUACGAAGCUUAUGAUCAUGGUGUGUCGUAAAUGGUAGCAACUGUUACAUGUUAUGUGGUCGUAAAGAUCGUACCAGCCAUUAUGGAUAAAAUGACCCGUAACGGCCCAUUACACGCCCUGUAACGGCCUGUUAUGGAGCUGACACAGAUUUUGCAGAUUUUUUCAAUAGAAGAUAAAAAAAAAGUGUCCAUAACAGUGGUUAUGGGGGCCGUAAUGGCCGUUACAACCCAUAUCGUAAAGGUAAUUAUGGUGGCUGUUACGGAAUACCUUGCUUAUGAUACAAGUUAUUUUUCAUUAAAACAUUGAAUCAAUUGUUUGUAUGGUUCUCAUACGUGGGCUGGUUACGAUCGAGUAACAGGUUCUCAACCCAAUUUCUUUGGAUCAUUUUUAGAUGGUGGAGAAACUCAAUGAACUGUUCUAAUGAUUUUCUACAUCUUUUUUAAUUCCAUUGAAGAGCAUGUUUUCUAAUUGUCUUGCUUCUUCUCUUUUUAUCCUUUAUCACAGUAAGGAAAAGCACAAGAUGUGAUCUUUUACUCAUAUCAAAGAUAUUAUCAACAGUUUUGCUGCCAAUCACGAAGAGGAAGAAGCAAUGGGAAUCUCAAAUCAUCUGGAUGUUAUAUCGGCUUUCUUAAAUAUCAGUCGUGGUAGAGUUCUGGCUGAAUUGAUUUGGCAAAGAACGAGAUUCGAGGAAUACACGUCACUCAGCAAACUCGACACUGGUGCAGCACACGGUGGUUUCUGAGCAUCCCCAACUCUACAAAGGAAAUUAUCCACAUCAUCCAUGGUCACCUGAGAAAGAAUCAAUCUCUUGACCAGAGAGGAAGUGAUCU